UCGCAGUUUGGGUUGGCAACUCAGUUCUAGAGCUCGUUGAAAUUAAAGCUUCCCAGAGUUUGGAUUGGAUUACAGCUCCCCUUAUGCUAAGCUCUAAUUUGCCAGCACUGUUCUAGAGCUCGUUCAAGGCUUCACGCAAUUUGGAAUAUGUGUAAAUUAUCCAAGUCCAAGAGUUCCGUUCUGGGGACAGCUCGCUUGUUCUCAAAGAAAUGUUUGGAGUUAUAGAUGGAUGAGCUCCAGGAGGUGUUCUACGAAGCCCACGCCCCUUGUCCCCUCCCCUGCUUCUCCGCUGCCGCCUCUUUCUCCGCCAAAUCCACAUCACCGCCGUGCCUGUUGCUGGGAUGGGACAGGGGUGGAGGCGAGGGAGAGAGGGGGGUUGACUCGGCAGUGCCGCCUGGCAGUGUAUGGGGUGUCUAGAGGAGGGGAGUGCGGCACGGUAAACUCCUCCUCCGCUACAGAGCAGUCCACGACGCGGUCACCGUCGUCCUCACCUUCUAAGCGUCUGUGAUGUCAUCGCCAUCGCCAAGCCCCCUCGCCACACGGUACACAUAGAUGGGAGAGGCGGUAGGAUGCAGCAGCUCGCCUAUUCCUUGGUCGCCGCCGAUUCCAAGUGAGAAGACGUGAGUACGAAUCUGUGUCUUUCUUUUUGCCCCGUCCCUCCCAUGAAUUUUGCUCGGAUCUUGGUGAGCUCCUCAACCACCCGAUUUCUUCUUAUUUCAAGUGUGCACACCUUUAGCUCGACUUGUGGUGGCGGCGAAUAUUACUAGAGCAGAGGCAUGCACCUUUCGUUUUUUGUCCUCUUCGUUGGUGGGAAGGCGAAGCGGAUUGGAGGAAGCCAUGUGAACUUGGUGAGAGAGGAGAUGGGGUAGGGCGGCAAGCUGUGUGGGACGACUCGGCACUGGUGGACGCCUUGGAUCACACCGUCGCCACCUAAAAGAUAUGCGCCCUCACCCCCCUUUGAUUCUCUUGCCCUUUCUGCCUUGCUGGGAGAAGAUGUAUGUGUGUUCUGUUUUUGGCAAUGGCGUUCAUGUAAGCGCGUUCACGUCAUGUUCCGUUCUGCAAUGCACAAGUACUAUGUUCUCUUUUA